AUUUUUUUAAUAUAAUUUAUUAUAUUUGAUUUCCAAUCAAAAAAUCUUUAAACAGAAAAAAUA
rnacentral:tRNA from 1 species